rnacentral:rRNA from 1 species
AGAGUUUGAUUCUGGCUCAGAACGAACGCUGGCAGCGUGGAUUAGGCAUGCAAGUCGAACGGGAAGCCGUUGAUCAAUCUUUCGAGAGAGUGAAGCGGUGGAUAGUGGCGAAAGGGUGAGUAACGCGUGGGUAAUCUACCUCUAAGUUGGGGAUAACUUCCCGAAAGGGGGGCUAAUACCGAAUGUGGUUUUCCGGCGCAUGUCGGGAAAACUGAAGGUGGGGACCUUAGGGCCUGUCGCUUAGAGAGGAACCCGCGUCCGAUCAGCUUGUUGGUGAGGUAAUGGCUCACCAAGGCUUCGACCGGUAGCUGGUCUGAGAGGAUGGUCAGCCACACUGGGACUGAGACACUGCCCAGACUCCUACGGGAGGCUGCAGUCGAGGAUCAUUCGCAAUGGGCGAAAGCCUGACGAUGCGACGCUGCGUGGAGGAUGAAGGCCUUCGGGUCGUAAACUCCUGUCAUGAGGGAAAAAUUGUUUCGGUGCGAAUAACGCCGAAACUUGAUGUUACUUCAAGAGGAAGCCACGGCUAACUCUGUGCCAGCAGCCGCGGUAAUACAGAGGUGGCGAGCGUUGUUCGGAUUCACUGGGCGUAAAGGGUGCGUAGGUGGUUCCGUAUGUCGGAUGUGAAAUCCCGUCGCUCAACGGCGGAAUGGCAUUCGAAACUGCGGUUCUAGAGUGCAUGAAGGGAGAGCGGAAUUCUUGGUGUAGCGGUGAAAUGCGUUGAUAUCAAGAGGAACACCGGUGGCGAAGGCGGCUCUCUGGAAUGUUACUGACACUGAGGUAAAAGCUGGGGGAGCAAACAGGAUUAGAUACCCUGGUAGUCCCAGCCGUAAACGGUGUACACUUGGUGUUGGGGGAGUUGACCCCUCAGUGCCGGAGCUAACGCGUUAAGUGUACCGCCUGGGGAGUACGGCCGCAAGGCUAAAACUCAAAGAAAUUGACGGGGGCCCGCACAAGCGGAGGAGCAUGUGGCUUAAUUCGAUGCAACGCGAAGAACCUUACCAGGGCUUGACAUGUAACUGCUCAUCCUGUGAAAGCAGGACUCUUUCGAAGGUGUUACACAGGUGCUGCAUGGCUGUCGUCAGUUCGUGCCGUGAGGUGUUGGGUUAAGUCCCGCAACGAACGCAACCCCUGUGGUUAGUUGCCACCGCCGGUGAUGAGCCGGCGAGCACUCUAGCCAGACUGCCCCGUUAAACGGGGAGGAAGGUGGGGACGACGUCAAGUCAGUAUGGCCCUUACGCCCUGGGCUGCACACGUGCUACAAUGGCCGGUACAGAGGGAUGCGAGACCGCGAGGUGGAGCUAAUCCUGAAAACCGGCCUCAGUUCGGAUUGAAGUCUGCAACUCGACUUCAUGAAGUUGGAUUCGCUAGUAACGGCGCAUCAGCUACGGCGCCGUGAAUACGUUCCCGGGCCUUGUACACACCGCCCGUCACAUCAUGAAAGCCGUCUGCACCCGUAGUCGCUGUACCAACCCGCAAGGGAGGAAGGUGCCGAAGGUGUGGGUGGUGAUUGGGAUGAAGUCGGAACAAGGUA